UCUCAUCCUAGGAGGUCUGUAACAACUCUGUGUAGCAUGAAGAGGGGAGUGCGUUCACUCCUCCACAGAGUGUCCUGGAAUAGAUCACAUACCCCCUAGGAGAGGUUUUAUCUUUUCUUAUUGAUAUAUGGUAUAGCAAACACACGUAUAUCUGUUUGAGUGUAAGAGCCUUUUGUUUAGAUGGACCCGUUAGACUCCUGGCACCAGCGGGUCACAUCUUGACCUCACACAAAUCACACACACACACACACACACACACACACACACACACAUGCAGUAUUCUUUGUUCACAUGUAUACCUAUGUAAGAUGUUAUAUGUUAAUGACCCUAUGCAUAUUCAUGUAACCACAAUAAAAGGAGUGCUGUGGGGAACCUGGCUGAGAGUCUGACGGAGGUCAAGUGGUGGAACGACACUUGACUCCAGGUUCAGAGACUCCCUCUGAUGGCAUCUCCAUCUGUCUGCUGAAGGCAGUCCUGCUCUCCGUCAGUCUGAUCAUCAUGGUGUUGGCUGUAAUCAGUGUCUACCUCAUAGCAAAGCAUAAGAAGAAAAGAUAAAAAUGGACCAGACUACAAACGUACAUAAAUACUUCACAAGAAAAUUUCACAGGGCAUGUAUUAAUAAUUUUUUAAAAAUCUUUUCACUUUGGAAAAAUAAUGCUUUACUCAAUGUUGAUUUUUUUUUUUUGAGGAUUUGUUCUUUAAAAAAAACAUCAGCAAAAACUGUAUUUAUGGGUCCGAUUUCGCCUAACUGUGUGUGUUUCCAGAACACGACCAGAAGAGGGCAGUGGGUUACUGUUGUGUAACGUGGAGUAAGGAGAGAUGCACCGUGCCAUCACAGCUGAUACCCAGCCUUCAGUUCAGUUCAAUUUUAUUUAUAUAGCGCCAAGCCCACCAAAACAACUCCCUGAUAACGACUGUGUGAUGACUAUUCUUCCCGCCCCAUGAAGGACACCUGGAUUGGCUGGAGGACUGUUUACUUAGCCUGAUAGGCCGAAGGACACUGUCUCAGCUAAACUAUGGACACGCACACACACACACUUACACUGAUAAGCACUCACUCAUCCCCCUCCCUUUCCAACGCCUUCGAUGCUUGUGCCCUACCGGGGAUGAUAGCAGUCAACUGGACCAGCACAGAUGCUGCAGGACCGGAUGCGCUGUCUACGCCGGCUCUCUCUUACCCUUUACCCGCCCCUGUUGCUUGUCUCGUGUUUCUAUGGUGUAUUGAUAGUCAUGUGCUUUUGUGCUGAGGUGUUUUUUCUUUUAUCAAACUGUUCUCCCACUAGGAGCUCAGUCUGAGUGGAGUUUUUUUUUUCUCCUCCUCUUACCUCAUGUAGUGUAUUUUCGUUGUUUUUUUUCCUAUCAGCCUACCUUCUGACAUGCCUGCCCAAUGUGAUGUUUGUGUAAAGUUGGUCAGAAGGUUCCUUUGUGAGUGCGCAUGCGCCAUUAGCGUGCUGCCUGCUGUAACCCCUAAUUUCCCUCGGGAUGAAUAAAGUAUUCUGAUUCUGAUUCUGAUUCUGAAAUCACAACAGCAGUCGCCUCAAGGCGCUUCAUAUUGUAAGGUACACCCAACAAUAAUACAUACAGAAAACCCCCCAACAAUUAUGACCCCCUACGAGCAAGCACUUUGGCAACAGAGGGAAGGAAAAACUCCCUUUUAACAGGAUGAAACCUCCAGCAGAACCAGGCUCAGGGAGGGGCAGCCAUCUGCCACGACCGUUUGGGGUGAGAGAAGGAAGACAGGAUGCUGUGGAAGAGAGCCAUAUGAGGCUUAUGUGUUGAAAUGGUCACAAU
ensembl:lncRNA